CCUACGGGAGGCAGCAGUGGGGAAUAUUGCGCAAUGGGCGAAAGCCUGACGCAGCGACGCCGCGUGAGGGAUGAAGGUCUUCGGAUCGUAAACCUCUGUCAGCAGGGAAGAACGGUCACUGUGCUAAUCAGCAGUGAAUUGACGGUACCUGCCGAAUAAGCCACGGCUAACUCCGUGCCAGCAGCCGCGGUAAUACGUAGGGGGCAAGCGUUAGCCGGAUUUAUUGGGUGUAAAGGGCGUGUAGGCGGGAAUGCAAGUCAGGUGUGAAAACUAUGGGCUCAACCCAUGACCUGCAUUUGAAACUGGAUUACUUGAGUGCUGGAGAGGCUAGCGGAAUUCCGGGUGUAGCGGUGAAAUGCGUAGAUAUACGGAGGAACAUCAGUGGCGAAGGCGGAUUGCUGGACAGUAACUGACGCUGAGGCGCGAAAGCGUGGGGAGCAAACAGGAUUAGAUACCCGAGUAGUC
rnacentral:rRNA from 1 species